GAUGAACGCUGGCGGCGUGCCUAAUACAUGCAAGUCGAGCGAACAGACGAGGAGCUUGCUCCUCUGACGUUAGCGGCGGACGGGUGAGUAACACGUGGAUAACCUACCUCUAAGACUGGGAUAACUUCGGGCCACCGGAGCUAAUACCGGAUAAUAUAUUGAACCGCAUGGUUCAAUAGUGAAAGACGGUUUUGCUGUCACUUAUAGAUGGAUCCGCGCCGCAUUAGCUAGUUGGUAAGGUAACGGCUUACCAAGGCAACGAUGCGUAGCCGACCUGAGAGGGUGAUCGGCCACACUGGAACUGAGACACGGUCCAGACUCCUACGGGAGGCAGCAGUAGGGAAUCUUCCGCAAGGGGCGAAAGCCUGACGGAGCAACGCCGCGUGAGUGAUGAAGGUCUUCGGAUCGUAAAACUCUGUUAUUAGGGAAGAACAAAUGUGUAAGUAACUAUGCACGUCUUGACGGUACCUAAUCAGAAAGCCACGGCUAACUACGUG
rnacentral:rRNA from 1 species